UUGACAUCCCGAUGCUAUUCUAGAGAUAGAAAGUUACUUCGGUACAUCGGUGACAGGUGGUGCAUGGUUGUCGUCAGCUCGUGUCGUGAGAUGUUGGGUUAAGUCCCGCAACGAGCGCAACCCCUAUUGUUAGUUGCCAUCAUUCAGUUGGGCACUCUAGCGAGACUGCCGGUAAUAAACCGGAGGAAGGUGGGGAUGACGUCAAAUCAUCAUGCCCCUUAUGACCUGGGCUACACACGUGCUACAAUGGUUGGUACAACGAGUUGCGAGUCGGUGACGGCGAGCUAAUCUCUUAAAGCCAAUCUCAGUUCGGAUUGUAGGCUGCAACUCGCCUACAUGAAGUCGGAAUCGCUAGUAAUCGCGGAUCAGCACGCCGCGGUGAAUACGUUCCCGGGCCUU
rnacentral:rRNA from 1 species